rnacentral:rRNA from 1 species
AUGUAUGUGUCCUGCAAGCAGCAGCACCCGGUUGUUGAUGGUGGCGUUCGGCGCCAAGAUGAAGAACCUCGGCGUGCCUACCUUUGGGCGGGUUGUGAUAAGGUGACCGGCGGAAAGUGCAAGGUUAACUGGGACCUCGUCUGCAAGCCCAAGAUCUAUGGUGGACUAGGAGUGCUCAACCUCCAGAAGUUUGCGACCGCGCUACGCUUGCGUUGGCUCUGGUACGAAUGGGUUGAUCCACCUAAGACUUGGUCUGGCUCAGGAACGCCUUGUACUAGCAACGACAAAGAUUUCUUCGCCGCUGCCACACGGGUGUACAUCGGAGAUGGAAACAAAGCUAAGUUCUGGGAAUCUCCAUGGCUGGAUGGCCUCCGGCCUAAAGACAUUGCGCCAAAGAUUUUUGAGUUGUCAAAAAAGAAAACAUGCCUGGUCAGGAAAGCUCUUGACAAUAACCUUUGGAUCCACCAGAUUGACACUCAGCAUGGCUAA